GACGAACGCUGGCGGCGUGCUUAACACAUGCAAGUCGAACGGAAAGGCCCUGCUUUUGUGGGGUGCUCGAGUGGCGAACGGGUGAGUAACACGUGAGUAACCUGCCCUUGACUUUGGGAUAACUUCAGGAAACUGGGGCUAAUACCGGAUAGGAGCUCCUGCUGCAUGGUGGGGGUUGGAAAGUUUCGGCGGUUGGGGGUGGACUCGCGGCUUAUCAGCUUGUUGGUGGGGUAGUGGCUUACCAAGGCUUUGACGGGUAGCCGGCCUGGGAGGGUGGACGGGCCAAUUGGGGCCUGGGUAGGGGCCCACACCCCCAGGGGGGGAAGGGGGGGGGAUAUUGCCAAAAGGGGCGGAGGCCGGGUGCACCAACGCCGGGUGGGGGAAGACGGCCUUGGGGGUGAAACCCCUUUUCCCGUGGGAGGAAGCGGGGGGGAGGGAAAUGGGUAAAAAAGCACGGGUAAACAAGGG
rnacentral:rRNA from 1 species